UGGGGAAUUUUGCGCAAUGGGGGAAACCCUGACGCAGCAACGCCGCGUGGAGGAUGAAAUCCCUUGGGAUGUAAACUCCUUUCGAUCGGGACGAUUAUGACGGUACCGGAAGAAGAAGCCCCGGCUAACUUCGUGCCAGCAGCCGCGGUAAUACGAGGGGGGCAAGCGUUGUUCGGAAUUAUUGGGCGUAAAGGGCGCGUAGGCGGUUUGACAAGUCUGAUGUGAAAUCUAUGGGCUCAACCCAUAGCCUGCAUUAGAAACUGUCGGGCUUGAGUAUGGGAGAGGUGAGUGGAAUUUCCGGUGUAGCGGUGAAAUGCGUAGAUAUCGGAAGGAACACCUGUGGCGAAAGCGGCUCACUGGACCAUAACUGACGCUGAGGCGCGAAAGCUAGGGGAGCAAACA
rnacentral:rRNA from 1 species